GCAUUGGUGUUUUAGUGGUAGAAUUCUCGCCUUCCACGCGGGAGAGCCGGGUCCGAUUCCCGGCCAACGCA
rfam:Danio rerio chromosome 4, GRCz11 reference primary assembly.